AUUGAACGCUGGCGGAAUGCUUUACACAUGCAAGUCGAACGGCAGCACGGGGGCAACCCUGGUGGCGAGUGGCGAACGGGUGAGUAAUACAUCGGAACGUGCCCGGUCGUGGGGGAUAACGUAGCGAAAGUUACGCUAAUACCGCAUACGAUCUGAGGAUGAAAGCGGGGGACCUUCGGGCCUCGCGCGAUCGGAGCGGCCGAUGUCAGAUUAGGUAGUUGGUGGGGUAAAGGCCUACCAAGCCGACGAUCUGUAGCUGGUCUGAGAGGACGACCAGCCACACUGGGACUGAGACACGGCCCAGACUCCUACGGGAGGCAGCAGUGGGGAAUUUUGGACAAUGGGCGCAAGCCUGAUCCAGCCAUUCCGCGUGCAGGACGAAGGCCUUCGGGUUGUAAACUGCUUUUGUAUGGAACGAAAAGGCUCUGGCUAAUACCUGGGGCUCAUGACGGUACCCUAAGAAUAAGCACCGGCUAACUACGUG
rnacentral:rRNA from 1 species